AGAGUUUGAUCCUGGCUCAGGACGAACGCUGGCGGCGUGCCUAAUACAUGCAAGUAGAACGCUGAAGAGAGGAGCUUGCUCUUCUUGGAUGAGUUGCGAACGGGUGAGUAACGCGUAGGUAACCUGCCUUGUAGCGGGGGAUAACUAUUGGAAACGAUAGCUAAUACCGCAUAACAAUGGAUGACACAUGUCAUUUAUUUGAAAGGGGCAAUUGUUCCACUACAAGAUGGACCUGCGUUGUAUUAGCUAGUAGGUGAGGUAAUGGCUCACCUAGGCGACGAUAAAUAGCCGACCUGAGAGGGUGAUCGGCCACACUGGGACUGAGACACGGCCCAGACUCCUACGGGAGGCAGCAGUAGGGAAUCUUCGGCAAUGGGGGCAACCCUGACCGAGCAACGCCGCGUGAGUGAAGAAGGUUUUCGGAUCGUAAAGCUCUGUUGUAAGUCAAGAACGGGUGUGAGAGUGGAAAGUUCACACUGUGACGGUAGCUUACCAGAAAGGGACGGCUAACUACGUGCCAGCAGCCGCGGUAAUACGUAGGUCCCGAGCGUUGUCCGGAUUUAUUGGGCGUAAAGCGAGCGCAGGCGGUUUGAUAAGUCUGAAGUUAAAGGCUGUGGCUCAACCAUAGUUCGCUUUGGAAACUGUCAAACUUGAGUGCAGAAGGGGAGAGUGGAAUUCCAUGUGUAGCGGUGAAAUGCGUAGAUAUAUGGAGGAACACCGGUGGCGAAAGCGGCUCUCUGGUCUGUAACUGACGCUGAGGCUCGAAAGCGUGGGGAGCGAACAGGAUUAGAUACCCUGGUAGUCCACGCCGUAAACGAUGAGUGCUAGGUGUUGGAUCCUUUCCGGGAUUCAGUGCCGCAGCUAACGCAUUAAGCACUCCGCCUGGGGAGUACGACCGCAAGGUUGAAACUCAAAGGAAUUGACGGGGGCCCGCACAAGCGGUGGAGCAUGUGGUUUAAUUCGAAGCAACGCGAAGAACCUUACCAGGUCUUGACAUCCCGAUGCUAUUUCUAGAGAUAGAAAGUUACUUCGGUACAUCGGUGACAGGUGGUGCAUGGUUGUCGUCAGCUCGUGUCGUGAGAUGUUGGGUUAAGUCCCGCAACGAGCGCAACCCCUAUUGUUAGUUGCCAUCAUUCAGUUGGGCACUCUAGCGAGACUGCCGGUAAUAAACCGGAGGAAGGUGGGGAUGACGUCAAAUCAUCAUGCCCCUUAUGACCUGGGCUACACACGUGCUACAAUGGUUGGUACAACGAGUUGCGAGUCGGUGACGGCGAGCUAAUCUCUUAAAGCCAAUCUCAGUUCGGAUUGUAGGCUGCAACUCGCCUACAUGAAGUCGGAAUCGCUAGUAAUCGCGGAUCAGCACGCCGCGGUGAAUACGUUCCCGGGCCUUGUACACACCGCCCGUCACACCACGAGAGUUUGUAACACCCGAAGUCGGUGAGGUAACCUUUUGGAGCCAGCCGCCUAAGGUGGGACAGAUGAUUGGGGUGAAGUCGUAACAAGGUA
rnacentral:rRNA from 1 species